ACAACAUACUUUGAGAAGUAAAUAAUUAUUUUGAAUUAAUGUCCCAAUGUUGUCCUUAAAAACAGAAGCACGUUCCUGUCACUGCGCUAUAGUCUUCACUAGACCUCUCUAGCACAUGUUGAUCUGAAUUAAUUCUGCCCUGUUUAACCCCAAGAAUUUCCCAUGUUUGCUUUGUUCUUACACCCAUUUAGAGGGCCUCACAUUGGCCUCAGCCUCUACACUGUCUGUAUAUCUACAAGUCUUCCGGCAUGGUUUACUAACAGGAUACUGGUCCAGGCUCCUCCACUGUGUCAGCAGGCUGCACGGAGGCUUCUGAUUGGUCAGAAGUCAAAGGCUGUGAUGGAGGUUUUCAUCUUCUCCUUCGGGGUGUUUGGGCCAAACACCACGUUUCCUUCUGCAUCAGUCGAGUAUGAUGUAACCCCCAGGUCAGGUGUUACAUCUGUGAUCUCCAGCUGAGAGGAGAAAACUGGAGUCAGACGUCGCCAUGUAUUAAAAGCCCUUCUCUAACUAUAGAUAACCAUCACAGCAGCCGAUGAAUGGAGUCCUCUACUUACCUAGGACGUUCAGUGAGGUAAGACCUAUGACUGCCUCAGUGAUCCAGAUGACUCGAAACAUUCAUACACUAUCCAAAUUGAUAUUCACCUGAUACAUUAUUUAAGAUAAUUAUAUCUGAAAACACAAGGAAUGAUAUUGCUUCAUGUCGAGUGCAUUCUGAUUCUUCAGAUACUUUUAGCCCACUAUUUAAUAAGAACCUUCAUCAAUAUCAUUUCCACUUCAAUGUUUAAAAUAAUUUUCUAAAUAAGCCAAAGAGACAGCACUUAGUAGUUGGCCUACAAUAGUCCUGUUUGACAUUUUGAGAUAUACCUUUUCUUUCUGAGAGUAGAUCAAUAUCAAUAUCAUAUAACCUACAGGAGAAGUUAAGCUUAGAAUAACCCCGGUUUUCAGAGUAACAACUCACUUACCUUCAGAACAGCUUGAAUUUGUAUGUUCUGUCUGUGUUGCCUAAAAGUGUUUUAGAUUUUUUACAGAAUGAGAUGGAUUUUUCUCCAUGCUGGUGGUUUAUCUUCGAGGAGUCGAAGUCUACAUAUAUCGUGACUGGGAGUGAAAGGGAAGAGUCAACUGAAACAAAAGUGAAUAGUGAAGGGUGUAGACUUCAAACCAAAGUGAGACAACUCAAAGAGGAAGAGGAGAAAGAGGAAGUUGGGAAGUACAUGCUCAUUUUUAUUAGUCUAAUCAGGAAAGGAGUGUUGCAAAAACCAUUGUUAAUGAACAGUGAUCUGAGAAUCUUCAUUACAGUGGCAUCGUUAUCAUCACCAUAGAGGAGGCAUCAAAAUCACUAAUGUGAAGGGAUAUCAUAACAAUGGUGAAUUACAUAAAUAACAAUAAUGAGAGUGGGCAAACAUACAGUGUUCACUACUAACAGGGAGACAAUGGGAGUGAUGUCAUGUGCACAACAUUCAAAUGAUUGUGACUUAUUAUGAAACAGGGCUAAAUGUGAUGAAAUGCAUGUUUAAACCCAUUUGCAAUCAAUCAUACCAUGGUUAACCACUAAUGAUAAAGUCUAGAUUUGAAAAGACUGCUAUUGUCUACUUCUACAACAUUUUUGAGUAGACAUGAUGUUAGAUUUGUUAUUAUUGAGCAGAUGUGUAUAUGUUUUCUAUCAUUUUAACUCAACACCGCACUCUUUCUUAUCUUCUGUUGACAUUUCAUUUCAGACUCAGCACCUUUGAAUGCUAUAAUCUACACAUCUAACACAUCCACGUUUGUUUCUCUUUUUGAACUGUUUCCAGUGUUUGUUUUUUUUCAUUUAUACAUAUUUACGACAAGAUUUGGACCGCUUUUUUAUUUUUUCUUGCUGGCCGCCUCUUCAGGGAUGAAGACACUUACGGUGAAGUCCCCGCUCUCCGUGCCGUACUUGUUCUUCACCAGGAUGCUGUACUUGCCAGAGUCCGAGAUGUUCACGCCGGUGAUGGUGAAGCUGGCGAACUUGCCUGACUCGAACUUGAGAAUGCAGUGUUCGUCGGACGUGAUCUCCCUGUCGUUCUUCAGCCAGGUGACCUCUGGCACGGGGUCGCCCGAAAUGUUGCAGGUUUCCUUCCUCGUAUUCUCUACCUGAGCAAUUUCCAGUUUCAGCACUCCCUCGGUGAAGCCCAGAUUCUCGUCUGCUUUGAUCUCACGUCCGUCUUUGUACCACAGCGCAGAGAACAACGCAGCACUCUGGCGUCACCUCGUAACCCAAAUACUCGAUAAAGUGAGGACCUGGAAGAAAUACAGUUAUAGAAAUGGAAACAUUAAUCAUAAAUCAACAGUGAGUCCCGUAGAUCUGAAAUAUUUAAUUGAUUAAUAAAUGAAUUGCAACUCAUUUUGAGUCAAUUUAACGUAAAAGUGUUUAUUUCAAUCACAGUAUUUCUUUCAUAACCUGUGUUCAUUUGAAUCAAUAUGAAGAACAAAAACUAGCAGAGAGUUACUAUACAAAUAAUGAUCCAAAUGAAAUGUAGAUUACAGUCCAUUUGAGUUACAAUAACUUUUAAAGAAGAAACUGCUGUGUGUGUGAGGGUGCUUUAAAAAAUAACAAUGAUAGGGGAGUUGUCAAACUGAGUAAAGGAAGCCCAUUUUUAAAAGAGCCUAGUCUAAAAAGUAAGUUGAGGUUACCUCUUCCUGUUUGCUGAUUAUAAAACUUUGCUGGUGAAGGAUGACAGAAGAUAGGAAAUGACCUUGGGUGAAAUCAUUAGAGCCCUAUUGUUGGCUACAUUAAGUGUGUGUUAUUCCAAAGUUUUCUGUGUUAUAGCACCUCCAUGUGCGUGAAAUUGCAAUUACACAUGAUACCGUUUGAAUCAGAAACCAAUUAGAGACUUCUGUCUUUUCAUUACUGAUCAAUCAGCAAAAUCCUGUUAUUAUUAAUACUAUAGUGAGUGUCCCAUACCUUGCUUUCUGACCCACUCCUUCAUCUGGAACUCUGAUUCCUUCUGCAGCUCCUUGAACACUGCAAAUAAUAAGGGUUUAAAUUAUGAACAUUCAGUUUGAAACACUUCAUAUAACCGUCGUAUCAAACCAGGUGAUAUACAUGUGAGGUUGCUGUUAAAUUAGUUUAGAUUAUUGGAUAUGUGAUAAGGAUCAUCCCCAGGAUUUAUUUGUUUAACUGGACCUUACCAUCUCCUAUCAGUACCAAACUGGACUGGUUGGUAGCCUUUCCAUCCUGCAAUUUGAAGGUGAAGGUGCCCUCAUCAGCCGGAGUCAGACAGUCCAUGAUCAUCUCAAUCACGCCAGUGUUCUUGUCAAAGUUGAGCUUGUAUUUCUAUAAAACAAAAACAACGUUUAAGCUUUCAUCAGCAAAAUAAAUAACACAAAAAGCCCAAUGUUUAUUAUUAAUACAAACUAUUUACUGACAUCCCCCUGAGAGAUAAGGUUAUCAUUGAAGAUGUAUUCGACUUUGCCGUUUGCUGACAUCUUGUCCGCCUGCAGCCAAAAGCGAACUUUGCCCUUCUCCAGCAGCUCCACAGCCAACCCUGACUUUAGGGGAAUAACUAUUUCGGAGAAAUAGUUAGGGCAAACUCAAAAUAGUUGGUUCAUGACAUACUUAGAAAACAUCUGUGAUGACAUGCUGAUACACUCACCGGGGAACUUGUGGUCAUGGCUGACCUCCAGCAGCCUCUUCAACUCUGACAAAGAUAUGACAAAGAGAUUUAUUAAUGGAGGAAAAAGAGCAGAGAGCUUUCCUAUAUUCUAUUUUAUUUUUAAGCAUUGUGACCCACCUUCCUCAGAGAGAGUGUAGCUGGAUGAAGCACCAUCAGUGUGGGUGACAAUACAUGAGUAAAUACCAAUGUCUUCCUCCUCAGGAGUGUUGAAAAAGGCUUUGGAUCUGCAAUCCAACAAAGGGGUAAUAAAUACUAAGUGAUGUUGUGUUAAUCAAAAUAAAAAAAGUCAGCUCACUUGUUUCCCUUGGUCUCUAUUGUCAGACGGGAUGUUUCUGCUAUUUCCUCGUAAUCCUUUGACCACACAAAUUUGGAGUCGGGGGUCAUGUCACAGCAUUCAAAGUUCAGGGAGAUGAUACCGUCAUCGUCAACAUCCACUACGAUCUCCUUAGUGCCUGAAAACCCAAAGAUGCUGGUGUUACAGCUUGAAAUGAUGACCUCGUCAUCAGCAUCACAUCCAACGUUUCCCCUACCUGGUUUAGUGACAGCUACGACCGGCUCUGUCUCCU